UUUAAGGUUAAUGGGCAUAGGUCAAGCUUUAUGAAGAAGUCAUGUGACUUGAGGAAAAAGAGGGGGGGGUGGGGGAGUUGUCAAAUUUGGACAAGCCGAAUCGACGUGAAGCAGGAAGGAGUCUGGAUCAUGACUCCUCAGAAAGAAGUGCUUGUAGGAGGCAACCUGUGGUUUUGAGCUUGCAUUUUCUUUUCCUUUUCUUUUAGUUUCUUUAUUUUUUCUUAUUUUUGCUUUAUUUAUCCUUUAUUUUUGCUCUUUCAAUCCUCUGAACUUUUAAUUGAGUUUCGAAGUGGAUAGCACGGAACGAGUGUGGGUGGACAUUUUUAUAAAAAAUUGACAAAAAUGAACUUAUUUUUACACCACGACGUGGUGAAUUUCCAGAAAAUGAUUACACGAAAUUCAAUAUAUCAACAUGAUGUGUUAAUUUCACCACGACAUGUUGUCGGUUUAAACUCAAUCAAUUUAGGGUUUUUAGUCUCAAUCAAAACUUUUCUUACUUUUUCAGCUUCACUUGUUUCCUCGCCAUGUUGUUCUCUCCACGAAAACUCUUCAACAAUUUCUUCACUUCUUCGAUUCCUUCCAACAAGGUCAUCGCCAUCCAUUCUCAUAGUAACCAACCCGGGUGUCUCCCCGACUUUCCUUGGUAUAAAUUACCUUGUGUUGUGGGUCCCAAAGUGUUUGCACAAUGAAACGGGAGCCUUGAUUGGAUGAAGCAAAGGAAAGUCGAUGUUCCUGCAGUAGUUGAUUGAGGAUGGAUUGAACAAGCUGGAUUUUUAGAGGGAGUUGAACCAUUUUGGGUUAAGGAUUUUGAUGGGGCACAAAGGAGGUUUAUGUGCGUGGCAUGGCAGAGGUUGUUCCAAAUUCAAGAAGUUAUCUAUAAGGAGUUGGAGAUUAAAAUUUUAGCUACAGUUCCAUUUCGAAGGAAAAUCGGGUACGUUAGAGGAAUGGAAUCUUACGUUUUGUCUUGGGGGGAAGGUGAGAGUUAAGCCUCGCUGAGCUUGCGAUGCGGAAAAUCGGGUAUGUUAGAGGAAUGGAAUCUUAUAUAUAUGGACCCCCCGUUUCUUUUGGUGGUGUUUCUCUCAGUCCGGGUGGGGAAAGAUCGUCGUGGUUCUCCGUUAUUUGGCGGAAUGUUGAUAACUCGGAUUACGCGGCCAUUUGGUAUUCUAAACAACUAUGAAGCCGUAUUUUCGACAGUCGAGUCUUAGUAAUCCUUUUAUCCUCUUUUGUAUAAGCAGGAAAAUAUUUUUAAUGAGUAAAAACUCACGUCUAGUAAAUGUUUCUCUUUGUUAGUAUUAAAGUUUAUUGAAGAAUCUGAUGCAGUACA